AUUGAACGCUGGCGGCAGGCCUAACACAUGCAAGUCGAGCGAGCGGCGGACGGGUGAGUAAUGUCUGGGAAACUGCCUGAUGGAGGGGGAUAACUACUGGAAACGGUAGCUAAUACCGCAUACCAUCAGAUGUGCCCAGAUGGGAUUGGCUAGUAGGUGGGGUAACGGCUCACCUAGGCAACGAUCCCUAGCUGGUCUGAGAGGAUGACCAGCCAUACUGUAACGGAGACCCGGUCCAGACUCCUACGGGCGGCAGCAGUGGGAAAUAUUGCACAAUGGGCGCAAGCCUGAUUCAGCCAUGCCGCGUGUGUGAGGAAGGCCUUCGGGUUGUAAAGCACUUUCAGCGGGGAGGCGUUACCCGCAGAAGAAGCACCAGCUAACUCCGUGCCGUCAGCCGCAGUAAUAC
rnacentral:rRNA from 1 species